CCUACGGGAGGCAGCAGUAGGGAAUCUUUCACAAUGGGCGAAAGCCUGAUGGAGCAACGCCGCGUGCAGGAUGAAGGCCUUCGGGUUGUAAACUGCUUUUAUAAGCGAGAAAUAUGAUGGUAACUUAUGAAUAAGGAUCGUCUAAAUACGUGCCAGCAGCCGCGGUCAUACGUAGGAUCCGAGCAUUAUCCGGAGUGACUGGGUGUAAAGAGUUGCGUAGGUGGCAUAAUAAGUAGCUAGUGAAAUCUGGUGGCUCAACCAUUCAUACUAUUAGCUAAACUGUUAAGCUCGAGAACGUUAGGGGUAACUGGAAUUUCUAGUGUAGGAGUGAAAUCCGUAGAUAUUAGAAGGAACACCAAUAGCGUAGGCAGGUUACUGGGACGGUUCUGACACUAAGGCACGAAAGCGUAGGGAGCAAACGGGAUUAGAUACCCCAGUAGUC
rnacentral:rRNA from 1 species